rnacentral:rRNA from 1 species
UACGUAGGGUGCAAGCGUUAAUCGGAAUUACUGGGCGUAAAGCGUGCGCAGGCGGUUGUGCAAGACCGAUGUGAAAUCCCCGGGCUCAACCUGGGAACUGCAUUUGUGACUGCAUGGCUAGAGUGCGGCAGAGGGGGAUGGAAUUCCGCGUGUAGCAGUGAAAUGCGUAGAUAUGCGGAGGAACACCGAUGGCGAAGGCAGCUACCUGGACAGAUACUGACACUGAGGCGCGAGAGCGUGGGGAGCAAACAGG